rnacentral:rRNA from 1 species
AUUGAACGCUGGCGGCAGGCCUAACACAUGCAAGUCGAGCGAGCGGCGGACGGGUGAGUAAUGUCUGGGGAACUGCCCGAUGGAGGGGGAUAACUACUGGAAACGGUAGCUAAUACCGCAUACUAUCGGAUGAACCCAUAUGGGAUUAGCUAGUAGGUGGGGUAACGGCUCACCUAGGCGACGAUCUCUAGCUGGUCUGUGAGGAGUACCAGCCACACUGGAACUGAGACACGGUCCAGACUCCUACGGGAGGCAGCAGUGGGGAAUAUUGCACAAUGGGCGAAAGCCUGAUGCAGCCAUGCCGCGUGUCUGAAGAAGGCCUGCGGGUUGUAAAGUACUUUCAGCGGGGAGGCGUUACCCGCAGAAGAAGCACCGGCUAACUCCGUGCCAGCAGCCGCGGUAAUAC